GCCAGGCAUGGUGGGACACAACUGCAGUGCCAAGCUACUUGGGAGGCUGUGCUGGGAGGAUCACUUGAGUGUAGGAGUUCUGAGAUGUAGUAUGCUAUACAGAUGAGGUGUCCACACUAAGUUCACCAUCGAUAUGGUGACCUCCCCAGAGCAAAGCACCACCAGAUUGACUAAGGAGGGUUGAACAGGCCCAGCCAGCUCAAAAGUGGAGCAGGUCAAAACUCCCGCACUGAUCAGUAGUGGGAUACUGCCUGUGCAUAGCCCCUGUACUCCAGCCUGGACAGCACAGUGAGACCCAGCCUCU
rnacentral:SRP_RNA from 1 species